CCCAGCUGUCUAAUGGGAAAAUAGCUACCACCUGAAAAAAGUAGGCCAAAAAUCAAAGAGAAGCACCAUUUUGUGUGUGUGUGUUACUUUAGGAUACCGCUUUAAUCUAAGGUCUCUCCUUCUGCUGUGGGAAUGGAGGUCCAUGGUUUGCCUUUAAAACUGAUAAGCUGCUGGGCUGGGCUUGUGGCUCAGUGGCAGAGUGCUUGCCUGGAGCAUGUGAGGAGCUGUGUUUGAUCCUCAGCACCAAUAAAAAAUUAAGUAAACAAAGUAAAGAUUGUGACUAGUAUACCUAACAAACAAACAACAACAACAACAGCAACGGCAACAAAAAACUGAUAAGCUCCUCACUGACCACGCAUUCUCUACAAAAUCUUUCACAAGUUUACAAACCCAGUCUCUGUUCAAACACAUUGGUAAACAGACAAUCACACAAGUAUAUCACAGCAAAUUCGAUGAUGGAAAGAUGGAUGGGGAUUUGGUGAGUCCCUAGUGGAGGGUGACUGAGUCUCCUACCUCGUGCUGUGAAAGGAAGGAUCACAAAGGAGGUGCAACAUGCUGUGGGUGUGGAGGCUUCGGGAGCUACGUCAGGAGAGCCAGGCCUUCACCAGAAGGAUAUUUUAUUCACUUUCCCCAUCUACUACCACUUAAUAUAUGGUGGGCAAUUUAGGCCUUGGCUCAGACCUCAGCCACCGUCAUUCUACAGACAUCUCAAGUUUUUUUUUUGUGCCAGGAUGCAACAACUUUAACCAAGGAAUGAUUUCAGGAAAAUAAGAUUUGGGGAUCAAAAGGAAAUUCUGGAGGACUGGCAUGUGAAAUAAGCAUAUGCAAAUGAAAUGAUAUUAAAUACACUGAUAACAAUUUUCUGAACAUUCCUUAAGUCACUUUUCCCAAAUCAGGCCACCUGCCUAGGUACACUCAAUUUUUGACAAGCUCUGUAAUCCACUCUUUUAACUUCAGUUGGUCUUCUGGGAUCAGAGCAAGAAAGUAGAGGGUGGGCACCAGAUUGCCACAUUUGCUUGAUUCCCAUCAACCCCUGAUGAUGUCUAUAUGCCUCUAUGUCAUCACCACUGGCCAGGGUGAUCUUGUGGGCAUGUAUUACAAUAACCUUCCAGAUUGGCGGGGCACAAUAAAUUUUGAACCAUGACUUGAAAGGGUGUCCACUGUUAUAUCAUUAGCUAUGAACUUCAUUUUUGUAAAAAUUAGGGAAUUAGAUAAUUUAGGAGGAUAACAGAGUUGUUGGUAACUUAUGGAGUAAACUUAUAAUUUGGCAUUAUCUAAGAUGGAGAAAGGAACAUUUUUCUUUUUGAGAUGACUCUUCUUGGUGGGGCUAUACUAAUGGAUCCUGAAGCAAAUAAAAUUUAUCUAACAGUGGUGGUUCUUUACCUCUUUUCUACUAUAAUAGAUAUGCUCACAUAUAAAACACUAUCAUGGGUGAGUGUAGAUUCAGAUGUGUGAAUUACUGCUUGGAUAAAAGAUAUUUUGGAUAAUGCACCAAUAACAUACUCUAGUUUCUUCCAGUUGAGAGCUGAAUGCAAAGCAGUAAAGGUCUUGUUCCUUGUUCCCACAGUGUCUCUGGCCUAGAUUAACGCAAGCAAAUUCAAAGAUCCAGGACAGAUGUGGAAUGAUGUAAGUGGCGGAGAUGGAGUGGGGAGUGUGUGGGAGGACACAUCAGUCAGUGUGUUUUCUGCUGGAGAGAAAAGAUUUUAAGCAACUAAAAUGUGAGUCGGAGGGUAUAUUGUGGUUUGCCUCUUGCUAGGUGUACCCAUGGAAGUAUUUUGUAUAUAUAGUCACACAAGAUGUAGCAGAAUUAAAAAAAAAGCUGGAAAAUUGCUACUAAUUGAGACUUUGAAAAAUGAUCAUGAUCUCAGUUAAGAAUGAAGUGAUAUAUUAGAGUAAACCCUAUUUCUCUGGAUUUGUGACAAUCUGGGCUAUUUUUGGUAAACUAUUAGUGGGUCAUACUAGGUUUCUCGGCCUAGCAUCUGGAGAACAACACAAUUUCAGGACUUUUAUGAAGAAAAGAAGGGAUAUUGAAAUUACACAUAGAACCAGUCUGGGAUUUCAACAUUCUUUUUGCUUUUAGUAAAUGGAAACAAUUUUUUUGAAGAUCAGUAUCUCAAAAUAUAUGGCCUUUUGAGAGGAGCUCUGCUGUGUCAUCCAAGAUUUUUUAGAAGAUAAAACUAGCAAAAGUUUUGGUAGUUGUGCUUGUUUUCAGCCACUCUGAUGAAGAAUUAAUUUUCAUCUUUCAAUGGAUAAUGCAUGUUUAUAAAAGCCUUAACUAGUAUCAUGAAAAUACUAUGGGAAUUGGAGUUGAAAGUCAUGAACCUGGAUUUUAUGAAUGAGUUAACUAGUUAAAUAUUCAUUGUACUCCUACUACAUGUUCUACAUCAUGCCAACAAGGAUGGAUCAGAUUAGCUCUGUCUCUGAAAGUAGUACAACCCGUGGAUCAUAAAUUAUUUAUCGAUAUGAACAUUUACCCACCUCAUAUGAGACUGUAAACAUGCAUAGGUAUGUAUUCAUACACAAAAUUUUGCUGUUAAAAACUUAUAUAAAUGGUAUUUUAUAUUUAUCUUUUUGCAACUUCAUUUUUGUACUUAUUGUCAAUUUUUAUUUAUUGUUUGAUUAUUGUAAAAUAUUCUCUUAUGUAAGUAUAUAAAAUUUAUUUUUUUCUUUCCCAUUUGGGCAGAAUUCAGGCUGCUCCAGGUUUUGUUGUAUAAAUAUCUCUGUGCCUGUUCCUUGCACUUAGCUCACGUGUUUAUGGGAGCUGAGAUGUCCCACAAUUUCCAUCUGAAAGCUGGAGUUCCCGGAAGGUUGAUGAUGUAGCUCUGGUGCCAGUCUGAAAGCCUGAGAAUGCAGACCAUGUAUGCUCCAGUCUGAGGACAGAGAAGGCUGAGGGCCUUGAUCAUGAAGCCAUGCAAAGAGGAAGAUUUCUCUUGCUUUUCUGUUUUACCCAGGCCCUCAACAGAUUGGAUAAUGCACACUCACACUGCCGAGGUGGAAUCUGCUUUACUCAACCUAUUGAUUCAAAUGUUAAUUUUUUUCUGUUAAUAUCCUCAUAGACCCAGAAAUAAUCUUCAGCUUAAUACCUGGGUACCUUUUAACUCAGUCAUGUUGACACAUAAAAUUAACAGUAGCAUAUAACCAUUCUCUUUUUCUUUCCUUUACUUAUACUGAGAGCUUUCCCUUCUCCCAUCUCCUAUAUAAUGUUUCUCCUUUAAUUGUUAUUUCGUUCUCCUCUGUCUUCCAAAUAAAUGUACCCUGUUGGUAAUAUGCCUUUUUCUUGAGUAAAACAAUUUAUCAGUUUUACUGGCAGCAAUUAAAUAUUCUCAGCUCUAAGUUUACCUCUUUUAAGUUUACCUCUUAAAAGUUUUUCCUCCCAUAUCUUCUCCUAAUUAUCACCUCAGUACUUCUUCAUUUCCUUGCCUUUCUUGAAAAAAAAAAACCUUAUAGCUAUUUCCAAUUUUUAUUUGCUCAAAUCUCAACUCAUUCUUUUAUUCCUUAUCCCAACAUGACUCUUACUAAGGUCACCAGUUACAUGGAAGAUCCCACCCCUUCCAUGUAAAUGCAAUGAACAUUUUCAGUGUCUCAGCACAACCUGAAAUAAUUACAUAUUUAUUGAAAUUAUCUUUUUUGGGGGGGAUUGUUGAGUAAUGCAUGAUUCUAGUUUCCCUUAUGUCUCUUUGAUAGUUCAUCUCCCAUCUUCAUUGGGGUCACAUGGUCACAUUGUUAUUAUAUUAAUUAUUAGAAUUCUUUGAGUCUCAUUUGCAGAUAUUCUUUUCUUUAUGCUUUCUUUUUACUUCUUUUAUUGCCACACAUUAUACUUACAGAAAGAUUUCAAAUUGUAAGUUUAACUAAUUAUAACAAGUGAACAUAUACAUAGCCAUCAUGCAUGUCAAGAAAUAAAACAUAGUGUUUCUUACUCAUUGAUGAAGUUAGACAGAAUUGUCUUAUUUUACACUCUCAUUUUAGGAAAUACCAUCAUCUGCUAUGACUAUUUACUGCACCUAUUUACUGAUAGUUCUUUGAUUUAUUUUUCUUUCCUAAACCUCUUGAUACAUUCAAUAUCUUAUCUCAGUUGUCUUAAAAUAGUCUCCAACUCCAGAAGUCUGACAUCAGUAGUAUCACGAUCCCAUUAUAUCAAAUCUGAUCCUUUUCUAUCAUUUCUUGUAAGGUAAAUAGGAUCAACAUCCAUGCACAUAGGCAUGUCCAUAAUGUAGGGUUCAACUUAAACUUCUCCCUAGCCUCAGCAUGAAUGUAUUACCUAUUUAAUUGAGUGUAAACAUCUUUAUGUUCAAGUUUCUCUGCUUAUGUUAUCAGAAACUUAAUUCAAGUUGCCAUAUUUCUUUUUUCUGGACAAUUGUAAUUGUUGGUUCACUGUUAGCAUAAAAAAUAUGUUUGACAGGAUGAGCAAUGAACUUUUCUAAUUGUUUUAGAAUUUCUGCCAAAGCCCCAAAGAUGAGAACAGUAGGUGAAAGGUACUCCUUAAUUCUAAUAUGCUAUCAGUUAUCUCUAUAAUUUAUUAGACAAACAGCUCCAUGACCCCAUAUAGCCUCCAAAGAGAAUUCUGUAGUUUAUUAAGAAAAUUAAGAGAAGAUGAGUGUUUCUAGUACCCAGGCACCUUCAGUAUAAGGACAUUUCUUUUAAUUUUCAGCAUUAAAAAACUGUCAGUACAUUCAACCUAGCAAUAAUAUUAUAGAUUAAACAACAUCAUGAUUAUUUUAAACUAAUUUAUUUGCUUAUAUGUCUCCCCUGAUUCUUGCCUUUCCCUUUGUCUCUAUGCUUUAUCUACCACUUAGAGUGAAGGUUUUGCUGCUCUUCAAGCUUCUGAAUUGUUAGGUAUUUCUGUGCAGGAAUUAACAUGCUUUUUCAGGCUAAAUUCUGUAACUGCUUUUCACCCUUCAGCUCCUACCCCUUCCAAAAAUGAUUUCAAGUCUUAGCCUUCUAACCAUAACAGGUAUGUGGUGAUAAAGUAACCAGUGGGGAACAAUUCCUGACAUUUUAGUUCCUCUAUACAUGAUCUAUCUUUAGAAUUUUAACUAUAGAAACAGCCAAAUCAGCUUGUUUGCAAGCAAACUAUAAUUUCCCAGAAUUAUCCCACAAUAAUAUGGUUUUAAAAGUCAGAUGAAAAUGCAUCUCCUCCAUGCUUAAUUGCAUUCUUGUGGUUUUUGAUUGUUUGAUAACAUUAGCAUAUUUUUCUAUCCUCCAUAUUCCUAGCAUGGAUGCCAUAGAAAAUCGAGGUUCCCAAUUCUGCAAAACUCACUCACCUAGGUAAAGGGAAAAAUUAAAUACUUUUUUUUUUAAGAAGUGAGCAUGAAAAUAAAUCUUUAUUUUCAGUUAUUACCCACGAAUAAGAGAAAGUUAGGUUCACAGUUUUAGCUAUUGACACAAAGUGAACUAGGAGGCAAAUUCACAUCCAUCAGACACAACUAAUGGAUCAACUUUUUCAAGUUUAGGCUAUCUUGAAAGCUUGCAACAUACCAGGUAUUGCUGUGUGUUCUCUAGUGACAAUGGCUGACAGCAAAUGGAACUUGAAGUGUUUUUGAAUAACAGAUGUUUUCUAUAAUAUGUUGCUGGAAAUCAAGAGAUUUACAUGUUCAGAAAAGAGUUGAAUCCUUAAAGUCUAAACACACUGAUUUAAGAGUGUGUAUGUUGCAAUUUCAAAAGGAGUCAAUAAUCCAUAUGGACUAAAUUAACACUUGCCUCUGGGUAGCAGGCCUUUUUGUAAAUAUAAAAUUAUAUUAGACAUUAGCACCAGUGCAGAACAUGCUCAGCAUCAUAAGAUCCAAAACACCAGUACAAGUUUAUCCAUCACUAAAAAACAAUUACCUCUUACUAAGAUGUCAAGACUAGUAGGUAGAUUGAUACAUCCAAUCCAAACGAAUAACUUUUGUACUGUACAAUGUUUUUUUCAGAAGUAUAAGUGAAAACCAAUCAACUACAAAGCAGACAUGUUAAAUUUAAAAUCUCCAAUAUUUUAAAAACUGGAUCUUACCAGAGGUAGAAAAUAACUGACAAGUGACAGAAGUUAAAACUUUAAAUAAAAUUCCUUCCCUGUUUAAUCAAUAAAUGUGGCAGAAUAAAAAAAAAUAUCCUACAAAACCUGUUUAUUGA